rnacentral:rRNA from 1 species
AUACGGGGGGUGCAAGCGUUAAUCGGAAUUACUGGGCGUAAAGCGCGCGUAGGCGGUUUGCUCAGUCGGAUGUGAAAGCUCAGGGCUCAACCUUGGAACUGCAUACGAUACUGGCAAACUAGAGUGUGAGAGAGGAUAGUGGAAUUUCCGGUGUAGCGGUGAAAUGCGUAGAUAUCGGAAGGAACAUCAGUGGCGAAGGCGACUGUCUGGCUCAACACUGACGCUGAGGUGCGAAAGCGUGGGUAGCAAACAGGAUUAGAAACCCUUGUAGUCC